CAUGCAGGCGGUCAGGCGCGUUUUGUGUGACAGCGGAGGGCUUAACUCUCCGAGGAUACGAGAUACGGCGUGACUUGAGAGCGCGAGAGGGACACGGAAUUCCGGGUGGAGUGGUGAAAUGCGUAGAGAUCCGGAGGAACACCGAAGGCGAAGGCAGUGUCCUGGCGCGUAUCUGACGCUGAGGUGCGAAAGCCAGGGGAGCGAACGGGAUUAGAUACCCCGGUAGUCCUGGCCGUAAACGAUGACCACUAGGUGUAGGAGGUAUCGACCCCUUCUGUGCCGAAGUUAACACAAUAAGUGGUCCGCCUGGGGAGUACGGUCGCAAGAUUAAA
rnacentral:rRNA from 1 species